GUAGGUGGCAAGCGUUGUCCGGAAUUAUUGGGCGUAAAGCGCGCGCAGGCGGUCCUUUAAGUCUGAUGUGAAAGCCCACGGCUCAACCGUGGAGGGUCAUUGGAAACUGGGGGACUUGAGUACAGAAGAGGAAAGCGGAAUUCCAAGUGUAGCGGUGAAAUGCGUAGAGAUUUGGAGGAACACCAGUGGCGAAGGCGGCUUUCUGGUCUGUAACUGACGCUGAGGCGCGAAAGCGUGGGGAGCAAACAGGAUUAGAUACCCUGGUAGUCCGACGCCGUAAACGAUGAGUGCUAAGUGUUAGGGGGUUUCCCGCCCCCUUAGUGCUGCAGCUAACGCAUUAAGCACUCCGCCUGGGGAGUACGGCCGCAAGGCUG
rnacentral:rRNA from 1 species